GACGAACGCUGGCGGCGUGCUUAACACAUGCAAGUCGAACGGAAAGGCCCCUUUGGGGGUACUCGAGUGGCGAACGGGUGAGUAACACGUGAGUAACCUGCCCUUGACUUCGGGAUAACUUCAGGAAACUGGGGCUAAUACCGGAUAGGAAUCCUUGCUGCAUGGUGGGGGUUGGAAAGCUUCGGCGGUUUUGGAUGGACUCGCGGCUUAUCAGCUUGUUGGUGGGGUAGUGGCUUACCAAGGCUUUGACGGGUAGCCGGCCUGAGAGGGCGACCGGCCACAUUGGGACUGAGAUACGGCCCAGACUCCUACGGGAGGCAGCAGUGGGGAAUAUUGCACAAUGGGCGGAAGCCUGAUGCAGCAACGCCGCGUGCGGGAUGACGGCCUUCGGGUUGUAAACCGCUUUCAGCAGGGGCGAAGCUUGUGGUGACGGUACCUGCAGCAGAAGCACCGGCUAACUACGUG
rnacentral:rRNA from 1 species